AACGAGCCUCCCAGAGCUCAGCAGCUCCACGUGCCCCAGGAGCCAGCACCCACAACCAGUGCCUGGCCCUCAGCUCGUGGUGGGGGUCCCACCCAGGCGAGCAGUUCGGGGGUGAGGGGUGGCACAGGAACACAUCUCCCUCCUUCCCCCCCAGCAGCUCCAUACACAGGAAACAAAAUACGUAACCAAUUGCUUGUUUUGUUCAUUAAGCACAGCUGGAUUGAUUUCAGUGCAGCAGCCCCUAUAUGCUGGCCCUCAGGCUGCUCCCACAAGCCCUGCCUCAUGCACGCAGUGCCUGGGGGUGCCAGGGGUGCAGCAGGAGCAGGGCUGGCCCCUGGGUCCCUGCAGGGAGGCUCCUUGGGGGCAGCUUUCCAGCUUGCAGUUUCUCUGCUCCCAUCAAAAUGAGGAUUUGGCAGGUGCCUGACACCGCAGUUGCUUUACUGCUCCUGCUCUGGGGGAGAACAUCACCAAACAAGCCCAGCCGCAAGCGCUUUGAUACCUGGAUCAACGCGCAACUUCGUCAGAUGCUCCUCCCGUAUUCCUGCACGACACCCACGUCCUAUUGCUGGUGCUGGUGCGUGUUCCCCGGCGAUAUCGUUAUUUUUGACACACCCUGCUGGCUGGGAAAUGCAGUGAGAAAAUACCUGACUCUGCUCUUCCCAGCAGGAUUGUCUCUCUGAUGUGUGAUUGGGAAUGCUCAAGGAAUGACCAGCAGCUGCUGAAGUGGAUCUGUGCCGUCUCCACGUGGGGACAGCCCUCAGGUGCUGCUCUCCAGGCUGGCAGCACCGUGUUUAACCCAGGCAGCUGACACCAGGACCCGGACCCCCCCGUCUGCCCCUCGCAGGGCGCUCAGCAUCUCCCCAGCCCUCACCCCCUGGGGACGGUCGCAUCCUGCACCCACAGCUCUGGGGGUGCCGGAGCCCAGGCAGUGAUCCUGGAGGGGCAGCAGGGCUGGGCGCAGCGGGACGGGGCUGGUGCUGGCUGUGCAGGUGGCAGCCAGCAGCUGACUCCGUGGGAGCAGCAACCGGAGCAGGAGGAGCGGCAGUAGGUUCAACACAGACUCAUAACUUGUGCUUUCCGCCGGCAAAUGCUCUGGACUGCAGCUGGGAACGGUGCCAGGGGGGCUCAGGAAGGAGGCUUUCAGAGCUGAAUGUCUUUUUCAGAGCAGACUCUAACUCUGGGCUCAUAAUCCCGAAUUCAAGCAGACUGUUGCCUUUGCUAUUCUUUCAGGCUCUUUGUUUUGAUCAAAGAGGCAAUGCUGUAUAAUUUAAGAAAGACUUUGCUUGCGAGGCCGGUUUGAUGCAUGUGGAGCGGCAAUGUGGAAAAAUCCAGCCCUUGCCCAUGGAAGCCAGCUUGGAUAAUUCGAGGCACUUGAGGAGAUGUCAUUUGCCGUGACUCAAUUCGAUUUGUGCGGCUGGGUGACACCGUACCCACACGGCCAUGAAUUGCAGCCCCCCUGCUCUGCACCCUGCUGCCGGAGCCAGGGCAGCUCCCAUGGCACGGCCCCAAUGCCUGGGGAGGGCUGGGGGCACGGAAAUCUCUGCCUCUGGGGCAGGAGCAAGCAGCAAGAGGCUGGUGGCACCCAGCAGAGCUGCUCUGGUGGCACCAGGCAGGUCCCCGCCAGGAGCCGUGGUGGCCUCUGCCCGCGAUGCUGGGGAGCAGCUGCAGUGUGACGGGGGGGCUGCAGCCUGCCUCGUGCUGCAGACGCUCUAGAAAAGCCCCAGCUAGAGGGAUGGGGACGCUUCUGAAUGUAGAUGCUGCAGAAAACGUUUUGCACUGGAAAAAACUGAAAGGAUGCGCCUCUGGGGGAAGCGGGUAAUCCUCCCAUGUGUCACUGUCAGGAGAACAUCAGGCUGUAGCUGUAAGGGCUCCUGUUUUGUUGCACCCUUCCCUCCCUACCUUUCCUAAUGAAUUCCAAGAAGGCUUCAAUGCAUUCUGAAAUGGGAAGCGCCGCGCUAUGUCCUUCACAGCCGCCGACACAAUAAAGACAGCCAUUUCACCGCUGGCAGGCACGGGCUCCUCUGUGGGCUGGAAACAAAAGCUGAAAAGAAGCCUUUAUAUUUUUUUUUGAUUAGAUAGCUUGAAAAGUUUGCUUUUAAUUGAAACUGCCUCACUGAUUUCAUCUAAAAGUCAGCUGCAAACCCCCUUCUGGGAGAGCGGCUCCAGCUCCUCGCCGCCGAGAUGUCUGCACGGAUCCUGCGCCGCCUCCUGCGGGAGGUGCAGCUCCGAGGGCCCGGGAGCAGCGCUAAUCCUCCUCCUUCAGCAUGUGGCACUCGCUUUGGAGACCCAAAGCAGAUUUCUCUCUCCACGCAGUGAGCAGUGCUACUGCCCAUCGUGCUGGUGGAUGGCACGGAGCCAGGGCUCUGCCUGCAGCAUCCCGCCGAGCCCCUGUCCCCCCGCAUCCAUCAAUGUACAACUGUGCCGGAGAGCAUCGCCGUCAGUCCUGGGCUGCAGACACCUGCACAGGGCACCAACGGGCCCGUGGGACCUGCAGCACCCAUGGGCACCUCGUGCCCACCGAAGGUGCUGCUCCUUGCGUCUCCUCUGCCCGCUCCGGGCAUGCGUGCGAAGAAACUACUUUGAGUUCUUUUUCAAAGAACGAAGGAGGAAGAAAAAUUAUCAGGGGAAAUUUAUGUUGGGACAAUCCUGAAUACAAAGACAAAUUGAAAUAUUUCCCUGUAACAGCGCGGGCUGGGGACCGAGUCUCGGAUAAAAAUAAAGUGGGAUGCAACAACAGCACCUUUCCGAUGGCAUUAGCCCCAUUCAUCUCCCGCGCGGUGCCGCAGCCGUUUCGCUGGCAGCGUACAAAGGCAUUAGGAGUUGCAUUUUCCUUCGCUAUUUCUCAACUAUAUUUAUGCUGUGAGAUGUUUGUGGAGGUACAUUGUGUGCCUCGGGCAGAGGAUUAAUUCCAAACUGUCACCUCGCUUUUUGAUGGGUUUGUAAAUUCUGCUCUGUUGAUUUGUGCGCUCAGUAAAUUGAUAAAAUCCUCUUCCUACAACGAAACACGCCAUGUAGAGCUCGCCGGGGCUUUAGACCCUACUGGUUAACGAGUUUAUGUAAAUAUAGUGUCCAACAGCAAAUUUAGGAGUGCUGCAUGAAUAAAAGGGGGAAAAACUGGGGCUGUGUCCAAGCGGAGAUCAGAGCUCCCUGUUGCACUCAGGAUGAUGCUGACGUGCUGGGAGCUCUGGGAGGCCUUUAGGGAUGGCACAGGAGAGGUCUUUCCAGUUAGGGACUCGGCAUCUUGGCAAAUGGAAGUUUAUGGCUGUCAGGAAUAGUCCAGUUUUUACUGAAAUUGACUUUAAAUCACCAUCAGAAAACGCAAGCCCAACGCCUGUGCAGUGUCACGGAGCCCCAGUGUCGGGGGGACGAGCCGCAGGGCUGCAGGAGCGCGGUGCAGGGAUAUCAGAAAUGAUUUUCUCCUGUAUUGUCCCCCAGCCACCGAUCUGCUAGAGAUGAAGGAUCUCAUCCACCAAAUGUUGACACGCUCCAUUAAUCCACCCUAAAAAGUCAGAUGGAGAUUCUCCCUUGAAUUUUAAAUAUUUCCAGCCAUUCCGACUAGCUCUGAAAUCACCCCGAAUUGCCCCAUUUCCUGAAUGUUCUUUCGCAGCCCCCACGUUAUUCCCAUUCCAUUAUGCCUGGAUGCUCAGACUCACUUAUUGCCUUUAUCAGCUCGCUGCAUUGCUCGCAGAACGACACCAGCCCCAACAGCGACUGCUGCGAGACCUUUGGGGAGCCUCCCCCCUGCCAUCCCCUCUCCAUCCUCACCCUUGGGGGUCCUGCAGCAGACUCACCCCGGUGCCCCGAUGUGCCCAACCCCUUUGUUCCCCCUGAUCACGGCGGCACCGAGCGCUUCCCAGUGCCCUGACCAUCCCCUCCUGGCCCAGGAGGUGCCCACGUGUGAUGCGGGCAGACGUGGCAGCCCUUUCACUGCGCGGGUUGCACGGCUCCAGGAUCAGCCCCGCACAUUUUCCUUCUGUCACAGUUUGAGUUUUUGGAUGCGUUCGCGUUUGGCACCGAAUCUCCUUUCUAGACGAAAGCUUUGCAUUUCCAAUCACACCUCCAAGGCUGCCCGUCCUGGCCAGGCUGCCUGCACGCUCCCUCCUGCUGCCAGGAGCCAGCUUUCGGCUGCAUAAGGCUCCGCUGAACCUUCCUCGCGCAGCCAUCUGUCCGGCUCUCAUCCUGCCCUUUUCCUUUCCAUGCUCCUUGCUCU